rnacentral:rRNA from 1 species
GACGAACGCUGGCGGCGUGCUUAACACAUGCAAGUCGAACGGAAAGGCCCUGCUUUUGUGGGGUGCUCGAGUGGCGAACGGGUGAGUAACACGUGAGUAACCUGCCCUUGACUUUGGGAUAACUUCAGGAAACUGGGGCUAAUACCGGAUAGGAGCUCCUGCUGCAUGGUGGGGGUUGGAAAGUUUCGGCGGUUGGGGAUGGACUCGCGGCUUAUCAGCUUGUUGGUGGGGUAGUGGCUUACCAAGGCUUUGACGGGUAGCCGGCCUGAGAGGGUGACCGGCCACAGUGGGACUGAGAUACGGCCCAGACUCCUACGGGAGGCAGCAGUGGGGAAUAUUGCACAAUGGGCGGAAGCCUGAUGCAGCAACGCCGCGUGCGGGAUGACGGCCUUCGGGUUGUAAACCGCUUUCGCCUGUGACGAAGCGUGAGUGACGGUAAUUGGUAAAGAAGCACCGGCUAACUACGUG